AUUGAACGCUAGCGGGAUGCUUUACACAUGCAAGUCGAACGAGCGGCGGACGGGUGAGUAAUGUAUGGGGACUGCCCGAUAGAGGGGGAUAAAUACUGGAAACGGUAGCUAAUACCGCAUACUAUCGGAUAACCCAUAUGGGAUUAGCUAGUAGGUGAGGUAAUGGCUCACCUAGGCGACGCUCCCUAGCUGGUCUGAGAGGAUGAUCAGCAACACUGUGAAUGAGACACGGCCCAGACGCGAAGGGAGGCAGCAGUGGGUAAUAGUGCACAAUGGGCGCAAGCCUGAUGCAGCCAUGCCGCGUGUAUGAAGAAGACCCAAGGGUUGUAAAGUACUUUCAGUCGGGAGGCGUUGCCGACAGAAGAAGCACCGGCUAACGCCGUGCCAGCAGCCGCGGUAAUUC
rnacentral:rRNA from 1 species